GAUGAACGCUGGCGGCGUGCCUAAUACAUGCAAGUCGAGCGAACAGACGAGGAGCUUGCUCCUCUGACGUUAGCGGCGGACGGGUGAGUAACACGUGGAUAACCUACCUAUAAGACUGGGAUAACUUCGGGAAACCGGAGCUAAUACCGGAUAAUAUAUUGAACCGCAUGGUUCAAUAGUGAAGGACGGUUUUGCUGUCACUUAUAGAUGGAUCCGCGCCGCAUUAGCUAGUUGGUAAGGUAACGGCUUACCAAGGCGACGGUGCGUAGCCGACCUGAGAGGGUGAUCGGCCACACUGGAACUGAGACACGGUCCAGACUCCUACGGGAGGCAGCAGUAGGGAAUCUUCCGCAAUGGGCGAAAGCCUGACGGAGCAACGCCGCGUGAGUGAUGAAGGUCUUCGGAUCGUAAAACUCUGUUAUUAGGGAAGAACAAAUGUGUAAGUAACUAUGCACGUCUUGACGGUACCUAAUCAGAAAGCCACGGCUAACUACGUG
rnacentral:rRNA from 1 species